GCCGGGGGUGGUGAUGCGUGCCUGUAAUCCCAGCUACUCAGGAGGCUGAGGCAGGAGAAUCGCUUGAACCCAGGAGGCGGAGGUUGCAGUGAGAUGAGAUGGAGCCACUGUACUCCAGCCUGGGUGACAAAGCGAGACUCUGUCUCAA
rnacentral:SRP_RNA from 1 species